UCCAUAUUUAUAAGGACACUACUCAAUUACGAGUGAGGCUAUAUAGAAUGGAUAGGAUAUUUUUUUGUUUUACAAUACAUAGUAUGUAGAGUUAAGAAAAGCUACUAAACUAAUAAAUUGAUAGUUUAGAAGGCAAGAUGGAUGAUGUAGUCAAAAAAAGUAGUUAUUAUUGAUUGUGUAGUUGUUGGCAUUUUGAAAAAAGCAUAAGUAAUUUGAAAAAGAAGUAGAAAGGGUCAGAUUGACAUAGUCAUGAACUAAGAUAAGCUUGAUGCUAUCUCUUUGUUUCUUUCUUUUUUGUAGAAGAAGAGUAAUGGAUAGAAUUUGAAUAAUAUGAAAUAGAAUUCUAGAAUGAAAGAAAGAUUUGAUUUAGAUGAUGUCAAAUGAGAAAUUGAAUUUAUUGUGUACUGAAUUAUAAAUAGAAGAUUGGAAAAUUGAUAAUGAAAGAUGUUUAUGAAGUAUGGAUAUAAUUGAGAGAAUUAUAAUACAUUGAAUAUUGAGAUUCAAGAAGAAGUUAUUGGAGUCUAAAAUUGUGUGAAGGAGAUU
rnacentral:lncRNA from 1 species